rnacentral:tRNA from 1 species
GCCCAGGUGGCGGAACGGUAUACGCACAACACUUAAAAUGUUGCGGGAGCAAUCCCAUGUGGGUUCGAGUCCCACCUUGGGCA